rnacentral:ncRNA from 2 species
AGCAGUUCCGAGGGGGGCUCCGGUGUGGAGCUGAGAUACCGCAGUGGGUGCGGUGACCCUUUGAACCUGAUCCGGGUCAUGCCGGCGAAGGGACAGGGAUGCAUCAGAAUU